rnacentral:lncRNA from 1 species
GUGCCAUCAUCAUCUACUCCAACUGUGCCAUCAUCAUCUACUCCAACUGUGGCAUCUUCAUCUGUUCCAACUGUGCCAUCAUCAUCUACUCCAACUGGUUAGUGGAUAUGUUUCAACUCUGCAAUAU